GUCUCUUCGGAGACAUCCGAUAAAAUUGGAACGAUACAGAGAAGAUUAGCGUGGCCCCUGCGCAAGGAUGACACGUACAAAUCGAGAAAUGGUCCAAUUUUUU
rnacentral:snRNA from 1 species